rnacentral:rRNA from 1 species
UACGUAGGGCGCAAGCGUUGUCCGGAAUUAUUGGGCGUAAAGAGCUUGUAGGCGGUUUGUCGCGUCUGCUGUGAAAACCUAAGGCUCAACCUUGGGCUUGCAGUGGGUACGGGCAGACUAGAGUGCGGUAGGGGUGACUGGAAUUCCUGGUGUAGCGGUGGAAUGCGCAGAUAUCAGGAGGAACACCGAUGGCGAAGGCAGGUCACUGGGCCGCAACUGACGCUGAGGAGCGAAAGCAUGGGGAGCGAACAGG